CUCGGAUGCAGCCCAUUAAAGGGACAACAUUCAUGGGAUCCAAGCUGAAAGAGACAGCAGAACCAACCUGGGCAAACCAGACAUUUAGGUACUGCAGCCAUAGAGCCAACCAACGUGUGUGCAAACAGAGAGGCUUAAGCACUGCUGAAGUACAACUGAGACCCAGCUGACCCCUUGGAAGUAAAGGGCUGCUUUAGAGAACUUGACUUUCUGCUUCCAAUGGUCCCCUCCUCUGGGGGAAAUAAUGCUCUCAGAGCCCAGACACGGAUGACAGAGAAAGUUAUUUUGAUCUAAUUCAGCUUAACAAGGAAGAACAAAGUGAUGACUCAAGUGGACAACGUGAACCAGGUGUGCCAACUGCACAGAUAGCCAAUUAA
rnacentral:lncRNA from 1 species